UGAGCAAUCUGCCCUUCUCAUCGGAAUAAGCGUUGGAAACGAUGUCUAAUGCCGAAUACGACCUCCUUUCGCAUGAUCGGAGGUGGAAAGCUCCGGCGGAGAAGGAUGAGCUCGCGGCCUAUCAGCUAGUUGGUGUGGGUAAUGGCCCACCAAGGCGACGACGGGUAGCCGGCCUGAGAGGGUGACCCGGCCACACUGGGACUGAGACACGGCCCAGACUCCUAGGAGG
rnacentral:rRNA from 1 species